GCUUCGACGGGUAGCCGGCCUGAGAGGGUGACCGGCCACACUGGGACUGAGACACGGCCCAGACUCCUACGGGAGGCAGCAGUGGGGAAUAUUGGACAAUGGGCGGAAGCCUGAUCCAGCAACGCCGCGUGAGGGAUGACGGCCUUCGGGUUGUAAACCUCUUUCAGCACAGACGAAGCGCAAGUGACGGUAUGUGCAGAAGAAGGACCGGCCAACUACGUGCCAGCAGCCGCGGUAAUACGUAGGGUCCGAGCGUUGUCCGGAAUUAUUGGGCGUAAAGGGCUCGUAGGCGGUCUGUCGCGUCGGGAGUGAAAACCAGGUGCUUAACACCUGGCCUGCUUUCGAUACGGGCAGACUAGAGGUACUCAGGGGAGAAUGGAAUUCCUGGUGUAGCGGUGAAAUGCGCAGAUAUCAGGAGGAACACCGGUGGCGAAGGCGGUUCUCUGGGAGUAUCCUGACGCUGAGGAGCGAAAGUGUGGGGAGCGAACAGGAUUAGAUACCCUGGUAGUCCACACCGUAAACGUUGGGCGCUAGGUGUGGGAUCCAUUCCACGGGUUCCGUGCCGCAGCUAACGCAUUAAGCGCCCCGCCG
rnacentral:rRNA from 1 species